GGAUGGCAGCUAAGUACAAAAGAAGGCGUGCGUGCAAGUUAUAAUUACUGCAGACAAAACUUCUUGUCUGGAAGAGUUCUGCAGGAAAUGGCCAGCCUCAAACGACAAUUCACGGAACUGUUAUCGGAUAUAGGGUUUGCAAGGGAAGGGCUCAGAGCAAGGGAAAUUGAGAAAAGGGCCCAAGGAGGAGAUGGUGUCUUAGAUGCCACAGGAGAAGAGGCAAAUUCAAAUGCUGAGAACCCCAAGCUGAUAUCAGCAAUGCUGUGUGCUGCUUUGUAUCCAAAUGUAGUGCAGGUGAAAAGCCCAGAAGGAAAAUUUCAGAAGACCAGUACUGGAGCUGUCAGAAUGCAACCAAAAUCAGCUGAGUUGAAGUUUGUCACCAAGAACGAUGGAUAUGUACACAUUCACCCUUCAUCAGUGAACUAUCAGGUCAGAAUGGUGGAGUAUACUUAAUGUUUACAGGUCGUCCUAGGGUAGGAAAUGCAAUUCCUUAAAUUCAGCCACACCAUGUUCUAUCACUUGCUGUCCCCAGCAGUACCACUGACUGAGGGAAGAUUGAAUAAGAAUAAACAGACUGGAAAUUG
rnacentral:sRNA from 1 species